rnacentral:rRNA from 1 species
AGUGAACGCUGGCGGUAGGCCUAACACAUGCAAGUCGAACGGCAGCACAGGAGAGCUUGCUCUCUGGGUGGCGAGUGGCGGACGGGUGAGGAAUACAUCGGAAUCUACCUUUUCGUGAGGGAUAACGUAGGGAAACUUACGCUAAUACCGCAUACGACCUACGGGUGAAAGUGGGGGACCGCAAGGCCUCACGCGAUUAGAUGAGCCGAUGUCCGACUAGCUAGUUGGCGGGGUAAUGGCCCACCAAGGCGACGAUCGGUAGCUGGUCUGAGAGGAUGAUCAGCCACACUGGAACUGCGACACGGUCCAGACUCCUACGGGAGGCAGCAGUGGGGAAUAUUGGACAAUGGGCGCAAGCCUGAUCCAGCCAUACCGCGUGGGUGAAGAAGGCCUUCGGGUUGUAAAGCCCUUUUGUUGGGAAAGAAAUCCUGUCGAUUAAUACUCGGUGGGGAUGACGGUACCCAAAGAAUAAGCACCGGCUAACUUCGUGCCAGCAGCCGCCGUAAAAC